CCAUGGCCCCGAGUGUCAUUAUGACUAUGAGUUACUUCUAUCUCAGAUCUGAUAUUCGGGUUCAGGAUUUAGCGGGUCAACAGUGGACAAAUAGUCAACAUCAGUACGGUUCAGGUUCACAAGUUUAGGAUUCGGGUUUGUUGCACGGUCAGUUCGACUCAACAGUUAACCAUGGUCAGAAUCGGGGUUUCGGGUCAAACCCGGUUGACUCGGUCAACACCAGAGUCAACUUGGGUCAACAUACGGUCAAUCGGGGUCGAAACCAGACCCGGAAUGUCGUAGUUGCACGCUAGCUAAUACACGUUCAUGGAACAACACUAUGGAAAUCACGCUAGGCUAGCUUUGCACAGGAAUGUCAAGGUUGCAUUUUUCAAAACUACGGAACGGUUGGAAUAGAAGAACCCACGGGAUUUCGAGUACUGAGCGGGCGUUCAGUGUUUAGAAGUCUUAGCUUUUUGCUUCCGCUGUGCAAUGAAGAUACCGGUCCAGUCACGCCAGCUCUGAUUUUUCGGGG